rnacentral:rRNA from 1 species
UACAGAGGGGGCAAGCGUUGUUCGGAAUUACUGGGCGUAAAGGGCGCGUAGGCGGCCUGCUAAGUCGAACGUGAAAUCCCCGAGCUCAACUCGGGAACUGCGUCCGAUACUGACAGGCUUGAAUCCGGGAGAGGGAUGCGGAAUUCCAGGUGUAGCGGUGAAAUGCGUAGAUAUCUGGAGGAACACCGGUGGCGAAGGCGACAUCCUGGACCGGUAUUGACGCUGAGGCGCGAAAGCCAGGGGAGCAAACGGG